GACGAACGCUGGCGGCGUGCUUAACACAUGCAAGUCGAACGAAGAGCGAUGGACGCUUGCUUCUAUCAAUCUUAGUGGCGAACGGGUGAGUAACGCGUAAUCAACCUGCCCUUCAGAGGGGGACAACAGUUGGAAACGACUGCUAAUGCCGCAUACGAUCUGACCUCGGCAUCGAGGAUAGAUGAAAGGUGGCCUCUAUUUAUAAGCUAUCACUGAAGGAGGGGAUUGCGUCUGAUUAGCUAGUUGGAGGGGUAACGGCCCACCAAGGCGAUGAUCAGUAGCCGGUCUGAGAGGAUGAACGGCCACAUUGGGACUGAGACACGGCCCAGACUCCUACGGGAGGCAGCAGUGGGGAAUCUUCCGCAAUGGACGAAAGUCUGACGGAGCAACGCCGCGUGAGUGAUGACGGCCUUCGGGUUGUAAAGCCCUGUUAAUCGGGACGAAAGGCCUUCUUGCGAAUAGUUAGAAGGAUUGACGGUACCGGAAGAGAAAGCCACGGCUAACUACGUG
rnacentral:rRNA from 1 species